CUGAGAUCGCGGUGGAUGCGCGCGCGGGCGCCUGGCUUGGGAUAAUAAAGUGACGUUGGCUGCUGCAGAAGGAGUUCACCACCUACGACUUCCCCAGCAUGUCUGCUGAAAAUAAUCAGUUAUCAGGAGCAUCACCUCCUCACCCUCCCACAACUCCCCAAUAUUCCACACAGACCUUGCCUUCAGAGAAAGAGGAUACUGAAGUAGAACUAGAUGAGGAAAGUCUACAGGAUGAAUCUCCAUUUUCUCCAGAGGGAGAGUCUCUGGAGGACGAAGAGUAUCUGGAGGAGGAAGAGGAUCUGGAAGAGGAAGAGUAUCUGGGGAAAGAAGAAUACUUGAAGGAGGAAGAGUAUCUGGGGAAGGAAGGGUAUCUGGAGGAGGAAGAGUACCUGGGGAAGGAAGAGCAUCUGGAGGAGGAAGAGUAUCUGGGGAAGGAAGGGUAUCUGGAGAAGGAAGAUUAUAUUGAGGAGGUAGAUUAUCUGGGGAAGAAAGCGUAUCUGGAGGAGGAGGAGUAUCUGGGGAAGAAAUCAUAUCUAGAAGAAGAAAAGGCUCUGGAGAAGGAAGAGAAUCUGGAGGAGGAAGAAGCUCUGGAGAAGGAAGAGAAUCUGGAUGGAAAAGAAAAUCUGUAUAAAAAGUAUCUGAAAGAACCCAAGGCAAGUUAUUCAUCACAAACCAUGCUUCUUCGUGAUGCAAGGAGUCCAGACGCUGGCCCCUCUCAGGUGACCACCUUCUUGACUGUCCCGUUGACUUUCGCUACCCCUUCUCCUGUCUCUGAAUCUGCCACAGAGUCUUCUGAGUUGCUUCUGACAUUGUACAGGAGGAGCCAGGCCAGUCAGACAGACUGGUGCUACGACAGAGCUGCCGUAAAAUCUUUAAAAUCGAAAUCAGAAACAGAGCAAGAAACCACCACGAAGCCGGCUCCGGAAGAGCAUGUUAACACUAAAGUACAGCAAAAAAAGGAAGAAAAUGUCCUGGAGUUUGCUUCUAAAGAGAACUUUUGGGAUGGUAUAACAGAUGAGUCCAUUGACAAGCUGGAAGUGGAAGAUUUAGAUGAAAACUUUUUGAACAGCUCCUAUCAGACAGUAUUUAAAACAAUAAUCAAAGAAAUGGCUGCUCGCAAUGAACUGGAAGAGGAUUUUGACAUUCCUCUAACUAAGCUACUGGAAAGUGAAAACAGAUGGAAACUGGUAAUUAUGUUGAAGAAAAAUUAUGAAAAGUUCAAGGAAACAAUCUUAUGGAUUAAGAGGAGACGUGAAGGUAGGCACCACUCCACCAUUUUCCACCACGUGCUGGCUCUCCUGUCCGCAUCCCACCACCUCUC
rnacentral:sRNA from 1 species